AGAAUGAACGCUGGCGGCAUGCCUAACACAUGCAAGUCGAACGAAGGCUUCGGCCUUAGUGGCGCACGGGUGCGUAACGCGUGGGAAUCUACCCUUAGGUUCGGAAUAACAGUUGGAAACGACUGCUAAUACCGGAUGAUGACGUAAGUCCAAAGAUUUAUCGCCUAGGGAUGAGCCCGCGUAGGAUUAGCUAGUUGGUGUGGUAAAGGCGCACCAAGGCGACGAUCCUUAGCUGGUCUGAGAGGAUGAUCAGCCACACUGGGACUGAGACACGGCCCAGACUCCUACGGGAGGCAGCAGUGGGGAAUAUUGGACAAUGGGCGAAAGCCUGAUCCAGCAAUGCCGCGUGAGUGAUGAAGGCCUUAGGGUUGUAAAGCUCUUUACCCGGGAUGAUAAUGACAGUACCGGAGAUAAGCUCCGGCUAACUCCGCGCCAGCAGCCGC
rnacentral:rRNA from 1 species